AUGCAUGUCUAAGUAUAAGCAAUUAUACGGCGAAACUGCGAAUGGCUCAUUAUAUAAGUUAUCGUUUAUUUGAUAGUACCUUACUACUUGGAUAACCGUGGUAAUUCUAGAGCUAAUACAUGCUAAAAAUCCCGACUUCGGAAGGGAUGUAUUUAUUAGAUUAAAAACCAAUGCCCUCUGGGCUCUCUGGUGAUUCAUGAUAACUUCGCGAAUCGCAUGGCCUUGCGCCGGCGAUGGCUCAUUCAAAUUUCUUCCCUAUCAACUUUCGAUGUUUGGGUAUUGGCCAAACAUGGUUGCAACGGGUAACGGAGGGUUAGGGCUCGACCCCGGAGAAGGAGCCUGAGAAACGGCUACUACAUCCAAGGAAGGCAGCAGGCGCGCAAAUUACCCAAUCCCGACACGGGGAGGUAGUGACAAUAAAUACUGAUACAGGGCCCUUUUGGGUCUUGUAAUUGGAAUGAGUACAAUUUAAAUCCCUUAACGAGGAACAAUUGGAGGGCAAGUCUGGUGCCAGCAGCCGCGGUAAUUCCAGCUCCAAUAGCGUAUAUUAAAGUUGUUGUGGUUAAAAAGCUCGUAGUUGAACCUUGGGCCUGGCUGGCCGGUCCGCCUCACCGCGUGUACUGGUCCGGCCGGGCCUUUCCCUCUGUGGAACCCCAUGCCCUUCACUGGGUGUGGCGGGGAAACAGGACUUUUACUUUGAAAAAAUUAGAGUGCUCCAGGCAGGCCUAUGCUCGAAUACAUUAGCAUGGAAUAAUAGAAUAGGACGUGUGGUUCUAUUUUGUUGGUUUCUAGGACCGCCGUAAUGAUUAAUAGGGACAGUCGGGGGCAUCAGUAUUCAAUUGUCAGAGGUGAAAUUCUUGGAUUUAUUGAAGACUAACUACUGCGAAAGCAUUUGCCAAGGAUGUUUUCAUUAAUCAGGAACGAAAGUUAGGGGAUCGAAGACGAUCAGAUACCGUCGUAGUCUUAACCAUAAACUAUG
rnacentral:rRNA from 1 species